AUACGUAGGUGGCGAGCGUUGUCCGGAAUUACUGGGCGUAAAGGGCGUGUAGGCGGGGGUAGAAGUCAGGUGUGAAAUACCGCGGCUCAACUGCGGGGAUGCAUCUGAAACUCUGCUUCUUGAGUGUCGGAGAGGAAAGCGGAAUUCCCAGUGUAGCGGUGAAAUGCGUAGAGAUUGGGAGGAACACCAGUGGCGAAGGCGGCUUUCUGGACGACAACUGACGCUGAGGCGCGAAAGCGUGGGGAGCAAACAGGAUUAGAUACCCUGGUAGUCCACGCUGUAAACGAUGGAUACUAGGUGUAGGAGGUAUCGACCCCUUCUGUGCCGGAGUUAACACAAUAAGUAUCCCGCCUGGGGAGUACGGCCGCAAGGCUGAA
rnacentral:rRNA from 1 species